UACGACCACAUUACGUUGAAACAUCGGUUCCCGUACGAUCACCGAAGUUAAGCAACAACGGACCUUGGCAGUACCUAGAUAGGUGACCGUUUAGGAAUACCAGGUGUUGUG